GGGCUGGUGGCACAACGGUAGAGCGUCUGAAUCCAGAUCAGAAGGUUGCGUGUUCGAAUCAUGUCCGGCUCA
rnacentral:tRNA from 1 species